GAUGAACGCUGGCGGCGUGCCUAAUACAUGCAAGUCGAGCGAACAGACGAGGAGCUUGCUCCUCUGACGUUAGCGGCGGACGGGUGAGUAACACGUGGAUAACCUACCUAUAAGACUGGGAUAACUUCGGGAAACCGGAGCUAAUACCGGAUAAUAUAUUGAACCGCAUGGUUCAAUAGUGAAAGACGGUUUUGCUGUCACUUAUAGAUGGAUCCGCGCCCCAUUAGCUAGUUGGUAAGGUAACGGCUUACCAAGGCAACGAUGCGUAGCCGACCUGAGAGGGUAAGCGGCCACACUAGAACUGAGACACGGUCCAGACUCCUACGGGAGGCAGCAGUAGGGAAUCUUCCGCAACGGGCGAAAGCCUGACGGAGCAACGCCGCGUGAGUGAUGAAGGUCUUCGGAUCGUAAAACUCUGUUAUUAGGGAAGAAAAAAUGUGUAAGUAACUAUGCACGUCUUAACGGUACCUAAUCAGAAAGCCACGGCUAACUACGUG
rnacentral:rRNA from 1 species